AGCGAACGCUGGCGGCAGGCCUAACACAUGCAAGUCGAACGAACCUUUCGGGGUUAGUGGCGGACGGGUGAGUAACACGUGGGAACGUGCCUUUAGGUUCGGAAUAACUCAGGGAAACUUGUGCUAAUACCGAAUGUGCCCUUCGGGGGAAAGAUUUAUCGCCUUUAGAGCGGCCCGCGUCUGAUUAGCUAGUUGGUUGAGGUAAUGGCUCACCAAGGCGACGAUCAGUAGCUGGUCUGAGAGGAUGAUCAGCCACAUUGGGACUGAGACACGGCCCAAACUCCUACGGGAGGCAGCAGUGGGGAAUCUUGCGCAAUGGGCUAAAGCCUGACGCAGCCAUGCCGCGUGAAUGAUGAAGGUCUUAGGAUUGUAAAAUUCUUUCACCGGGGACGAUAAUGACGGUACCCGGAGAAGAAGCCCCGGCUAACUUCGUG
rnacentral:rRNA from 1 species